GGCUUGGUGGUGUAAUGGUAACAAACCUGCCUUAUGUAGAUAGAUAUGAAAGUUCUCUCAGUAGGAGCUCCUUGUUCAAUUCAAGGUCGAGCCG